rnacentral:rRNA from 1 species
AAAAAAGGUAAGCUACUAAGAGCGAAUGGUGGAUGCCUUGACUGGUAAAGGCGAUGAAGGACGUACUAGACUGCGAUAAGCUACGGGGAGCUGUCAAGAAGCUUUGAUCCGUAGAUUUCCGAAUGGGGCAACCCAAUGUAUAGAGAUAUGCAUUACCUAUAUAGGAGCGAACGAGGGGAAUUGAAACAUCUUAGUACCCUCAGGAAAAGAAAUCAAUAGAGAUUGCGUCAGUAGUGGCGAGCGAAAGCGCAAGAGGGCAAACCCAGUGCUUGCACUGGGGGUUGUAGGACUGCAAUGUGCAAGAGCUGAGUUUAGCAGAAUAUUCUGGAAAGUAUAGCCAUAGAGGGUGAUAGUCCCGUAUGCGAAAAACAAAGCUUAGCUAGCAGUAUCCUGAGUAGGGCGGGACACGAGGAAUCCUGUCUGAAUCUGGGUCGACCACGAUCCAACCCUAAAUACUAAUACCAGAUCGAUAGUGCACAAGUACCGUGAGGGAAAGGUGAAAAGAACUGAGGUGAUCAGAGUGAAAUAGAACCUGAAACCAUUUGCUUACAAUCAUUCAGAGCCCUAUGUAGUAAUACAGGGUGAUGGACUGCCUUUUGCAUAAUGAGCCUGCGAGUUGUGGUGUCUGGCAAGGUUAAGCAAACGCGAAGCCGUAGCGAAAGCGAGUCUGAAUAGGGCGCUUAGUCAGAUGCUGCAGACCCGAAACGAAGUGAUCUAUCCAUGAGCAAGUUGAAGCUAGUGUAAGAACUAGUGGAGGACUGAACCCAUAGGCGUUGAAAAGCCCCGGGAUGACUUGUGGAUAGGGGUGAAAGGCCAAUCAAACUUCGUGAUAGCUGGUUCUCUCCGAAAUAUAUUUAGGUAUAGCGUUGUGUCGUAAUAUAAGGGGGUAGAGCACUGAAUGGGCUAGGGCAUACACCAAUGUACCAAACCCUAUCAAACUCCGAAUACCUUAUAUGUAAUCACAGCAGUCAGGCGGCGAGUGAUAAAAUCCGUCGUCAAGAGGGAAACAACCCAGACUACCAGCUAAGGUCCCUAAAUCUUACUUAAGUGGAAAACGAUGUGAAGUUACUUAAACAACCAGGAGGUUGGCUUAGAAGCAGCCAUCCUUUAAAGAAAGCGUAAUAGCUCACUGGUCUAGUGAUUUUGCGCGGAAAAUAUAACGGGGCUAAAGUAAGUACCGAAGCUGUAGACUUGACUUUGUCAAGUGGUAGGAGAGCGUUCUAUUUGCGUCGAAGGUAUACCGGUAAGGAGUGCUGGAGCGAAUAGAAGUGAGCAUGCAGGCAUGAGUAGCGAUAAUUAAUGUGAGAAUCAUUAACGCCGUAAACCCAAGGUUUCCUACGCAAUGCUCGUCAUCGUAGGGUUAGUCGGGUCCUAAGUCGAGUCCGAAAGGGGUAGACGAUGGCAAAUUGGUUAAUAUUCCAAUACCAACAUUAGUGUGCGAUGGAAGGACGCUUAGGGCUAAGGGGGCUAGCGGAUGGAAGUGCUAGUCUAAGGUUGUAGGAGCUUAUACAGGCAAAUCCGUAUAAGAACACUCCGAGAACUGAAAGGCUUUUUGAAGUCUUCGGAUGGAUAGAAGAACCCCUGAUGCCGUCGAGCCAAGAAAAGUUUCUAAGUUUAGCUAAUGUUGCCCGUACCGUAAACCGACACAGGUGGGUGGGAUGAGUAUUCUAAGGCGCGUGGAAGAACUCUCUUUAAGGAACUCUGCAAAAUAGCACCGUAUCUUCGGUAUAAGGUGUGGUUCGCUUCGUAUUAGGAUUUGACUUCGAAAGCGAAGAAACUUACAACAAAGAGUCCCUCCCGACUGUUUACCAAAAACACAGCACUCUGCUAACUCGUAAGAGGAUGUAUAGGGUGUGACGCCUGCCCGGUGCUCGAAGGUUAAUUGAUGGGGUUAGCAUUAGCGAAGCUCUUGAUCGAAGCCCGAGUAAACGGCGGCCGUAACUAUAACGGUCCUAAGGUAGCGAAAUUCCUUGUCGGUUAAAUACCGACCUGCAUGAAUGGCGUAACGAGAUGGGAGCUGUCUCAAAGAGGGAUCCAGUGAAAUUGUAGUGGAGGUGAAAAUUCCUCCUACCCGCGGCAAGACGGAAAGACCCCGUGGACCUUUACUACAGCUUGACACUGCUACUUGGAUAAGAAUGUGCAGGAUAGGUGGGAGGCUUUGAGUAUAUGACGCCAGUUGUAUAUGAGCCAUUGUUGAGAUACCACUCUUUCUUAUUUGGGUAGCUAACCAGCUUGAGUUAUCCUCAAGUGGGACAAUGUCUGGUGGGUAGUUUGACUGGGGCGGUCGCCUCCCAAAUAAUAACGGAGGCUUACAAAGGUUGGCUCAGAACGGUUGGAAAUCGUUCGUAGAGUAUAAAGGUAUAAGCCAGCUUAACUGCAAGACAUACAAGUCAAGCAGAGACGAAAGUCGGUCUUAGUGAUCCGGUGGUUCUGUGUGGAAGGGCCAUCGCUCAAAGGAUAAAAGGUACCCCGGGGAUAACAGGCUGAUCUCCCCCAAGAGCUCACAUCGACGGGGAGGUUUGGCACCUCGAUGUCGGCUCAUCGCAUCCUGGGGCUGGAGCAGGUCCCAAGGGUAUGGCUGUUCGCCAUUUAAAGCGGUACGCGAGCUGGGUUCAGAACGUCGUGAGACAGUUCGGUCCCUAUCUGCCGUGGGCGUAAGAAGAUUGAAGAGAUUUGACCCUAGUACGAGAGGACCGGGUUGAACAAACCACUGGUGUAGCUGUUGUUCUGCCAAGAGCAUCGCAGCGUAGCUAAGUUUGGAAAGGAUAAACGCUGAAAGCAUCUAAGCGUGAAGCCAACUCUAAGAUGAAUCUUCUCUAAGCUCUCUAGAAGACUACUAGUUUGAUAGGCUGGGUGUGUAAUGGAUGAAAGUCCUUUAGCUGACCAGUACUAAUAGAGCGUUUGGCUUAUCUUUAAUAAAGCAU